rnacentral:rRNA from 1 species
AGUGAACGCUGGCGGUAGGCCUAACACAUGCAAGUCGAACGGCAGCACAGUAAGAGCUUGCUCUUACGGGUGGCGAGUGGCGGACGGGUGAGGAAUACAUCGGAAUCUACUUUUUCGUGGGGGAUAACGUAGGGAAACUUACGCUAAUACCGCAUACGACCUACGGGUGAAAGCAGUGGAUCUUCGGACCUUGCGCGAUUGAAUGAGCCGAUGUCGGAUUAGCUAGUUGGCAGGGUAAAGGCCCACCAAGGCGACGAUCCGUAGCUGGUCUGAGAGGAUGAUCAGCCACACUGGAACUGAGACACGGUCCAGACUCCUACGGGAGGCAGCAGUGGGGAAUAUUGGACAAUGGGCGCAAGCCUGAUCCAGCCAUACCGCGUGGGUGAAGAAGGCCUUCGGGUUGUAAAGCCCUUUUGUUGGGAAAGAAAAGCAGCAGGUUAAUACCCCGCUGUUCUGACGGUACCCAAAGAAUAAGCACCGGCUAACUUCGUG